AUUUGUCUGGUUAAUUCCGAUAACGAACGAGACCUUAACCUGCUAACUAGUUCUCAAUACUCUGUAUUCUGCAACUUCUUAGAGGGACUAUGUAAAUCAAUUACAUGGAAGUUUGAGGCAAUAACAGGUCAGUGAUGCCCUUAUAUGUCCUGGGCUGCACGCGUGCUACACUGAUGCAUACAACAAGUGCCUAGCCAGACAUGGUAUGGCAAUCUCGAAUAUGCAUCGUGAUGGGGAUAGAUCUUUGCAAUUAUAGAUCUUGAACGAGGAAUUCCUAGUAAGUGCAAGUCAUCAUCUUGCAUUGAUUAUGUCCCUGCCCUUUGUACACACCGCCCGUCGCUCCUACCGAUACCGGGUGAUCCGGUGAACCUUUUGGACUCAUUUGGGAAAGAUAAGUAAACCAUAUCACCUAGAGGAAGGAGAAGUCGUAACAAGGUUUCCGUAGGUGAACCUGCRGAAGGAUCA
rnacentral:rRNA from 1 species